ensembl:lncRNA MUC20-OT1 MUC20 overlapping transcript
AACCUUUGCUGUCUUGGGACGGAUCACCGCUGCAAGAGGGGAAGUUGCUACUGUGAUGAAUUCUGCCAUGUGGCACCAGACUGCCACCCAGACCACAGUGUCCUCUGCAACCCUGGUCAAAGGUGCCUACAUGCUCCUUCUAGCUUUGUUUCCCUGAUGUUCCUUGCCACCUGCUACUCCUCUCUGAGCUACUUUUCCAGGUUCCACAGGGAGAGGUUCAGCUGUCCGUGGUAGACAUGAGGCUUCUCAGAUGACCAAGAUGGUGCUGCAGAUGGUGCUGAGGAUGGAGAACCCACCAAGCCCCGCUAGGAGCCACCUAGACUGGAUGCAGAGCAUGGUUCAGUGAGUUCUCCAAACCAGCCUCCCAGGAAUGCCAUUCAACAUGGCUGUGAGGAGAAUAAAGAAGAGAGCCUGACUCCUCUCCUGAGGCCCCUUCCCCACCCUGAGCCAGCAGGAUCCACGGAGCAGAGGUCAUCUGUCCCCAGCUUGGCCCACUGAGGCCAGCAUGGCUGGGCCCAGGAUGCUUGUCUCUCAGCUCCCAUCC